rnacentral:rRNA from 1 species
CCAAGUCGCGUGAAAGGAAGAAGGAUCUAUGGUUCGUAAACUUCUUUUGCAGGGGAAUAAAGUGCAGGACGUGUCCUGUUUGUAUGUACCCUGAGAAUAAGGAUCGGCUAACUCCGUGCCAGCAGCCGCGGUAAUACGGAGGAUCCGAGCGUUAUCCGGAUUUAUUGGGUUUAAAGGGUGCGUAGGUGGUUUGAUAAGUCAGCGGUGAAAGUUUGCAGCUUAACUGUAAAAAUGCCGUUGAAACUGUCAGACUUGAGUGUAAAUGAGGUAGGCGGAAUGCGUGGUGUAGCGGUGAAAUGCAUAGAUAUCACGCAGAACUCCGAUUGCGAAGGCAGCUUACUAAGCUACAACUGACACUGAAGCACGAAAGCGUGGGGAUCAAACAGGAUUAGAUACCCUGGUAGUCCACGCAGUAAACGAUGAUUACUAGCUGUUUGCGAUACACAGUAAGCGGCACAGCGAAAGCGUUAAGUAAUCCACCUGGGGAGUACGCCGGCAACGGUGAAACUCAAAGGAAUUGACGGGGGCCCGCACAAGCGGAGGAACAUGUGGUUUAAUUCGAUGAUACGCGAGGAACCUUACCCGGGUUUGAACGUAGGGAGACAGGAGUGGAAACAUUCUUUUCAGCAAUGACUGCCUACGAGGUGCUGCAUGGUUGUCGUCAGCUCGUGCCGUGAGGUGUCGGCUUAAGUGCCAUAACGAGCGCAACCCUUAUUUUCAGUUACUAACAGGUAAUGCUGAGGACUCUCGAGAGACUGCCAGCGUAAGCUGUGAGGAAGGUGGGGAUGACGUCAAAUCAGCACGGCCCUUACAUCCGGGGCGACACACGUGUUACAAUGGUAAGGACAAAGGGCAGCUACCGGGCGACCGGAUGCGAAUCUCUAAACCUUAUCUCAGUUCGGAUCGGAGUCUGCAACUCGACUCCGUGAAGCUGGAUUCGCUAGUAAUCGCGCAUCAGCCAUGGCGCGGUGAAUACGUUCCCGGGCCUUGUACACACCGCCCGUCAAGCCAUGGGAGCCGGGGGUACCUGAAGUUCGUAACCGCAAGGAUCGACCUAGGGUAAAACUGGUGACUGGGGCUAAGUCGUAACAAGGUAGCCGUAAAUC